rnacentral:rRNA from 1 species
AGGGCGUUUAGUAUUUGGUCGUAGACCCGAAACCAGGUGAUCUACCCUUGGUCAGGUUGAAGUUCAGGUAACACUGAAUGGAGGACCGAACCGACUUACGUUGAAAAGUGAGCGGAUGAACUGAGGGUAGCGGAGAAAUUCCAAUCGAACCUGGAGAUAGCUGGUUCUCUCCGAAAUAGCUUUAGGGCUAGCCUCAAGUGAUGAUUAUUGGAGGUAGAGCACUGUUUGGACGAGGGGCCCCUCUCGGGUUACCGAAUUCAGACAAACUCCGAAUGCCAAUUAAUUUAACUUGGGAGUCAGAACAUGGGUGAUAAGGUCCGUGUUCGAAAGGGAAACAGCCCAGACCACCAGCUAAGGUCCCAAAAUAUAUGUUAAGUGGAAAAGGAUGUGGCGUUGCCCAGACAACUAGGAUGUUGGCUUAGAAGCAGCCAUCAUUUAAAGAGUGCGUAAUAGCUCACUAGUCGAGUGACACUGCGCCGAAAAUGUACCGGGGCUAAACAUAUUACCGAAGCUGUGGAUUGUCCUUUGGACAAUGGUAGGAGAGCGUUCUAAGG